UCUAAGGAUGAUUUUAGCAGAUUAGCUUGCUAUUCUCGUAAAUCACUUAGCAGCCUCUUCAAGAGGCAAAUUAAAUCAAACUGUCCUCAUAUCUCUUCAUAUUUCUAACACGGGCCACCGCCCGUAUGGGUCGGUAGCUCAGGUGGUUAGAGCGCACGCCUGAUAAGCGUGAGGUCGGAGGUUCAAGUCCUCCUCGACCCACCAUGAAUUUAAGUCUUUUGGGGCCUUAACUCAGCUGGGAGAGCGCCUGAUUUGCAUUCAGGAGGUCAGGAGUUCGAUCCUCCUAGGCUCCACCAAAUUUUCUGUGUUCUUAAUCUAAUUUGACCGCUAAGCAGACACAUCUGUUUAGCCGUCCAAUUGGACGGUUGCCUUUAGGGCACUUUUACAUCGUGAAGAGAGAUACAAUAUCAACACUGUUUGGAUCAUAUAAGUAAGUAUGUAUCCUCAGUAUUGUGAAGCAGAUUUAUCUGUGGACAGCUUUUGGAACAGGUCUUUUCCUCGACCUCCCUUAAGUUUGCAUGCUGAAAAGAACAGAGUUGUCCAAGUCAAGUACACUAACUUAAUCAUUCCUUUUGGAAUGAUGGGAAAGUAAAAUUUUAAUGACUUUUGGUCUAGAAAGAAGGCCUAUGUGAACCAGCGUAGGUUGUCAGUUAAGUCUGAUUUUUUCU
rnacentral:tRNA from 1 species